rnacentral:lncRNA from 1 species
UUGUUAACAUGCCCCUAAUGUCACAAGCAAGGCUUUUCUUUUAAACGAGCUGCCCAUUGGUGUAUUUUGAUACUUUUUUAUUAUUGCUAAAUCUUUUUUUUCCCAUAAUUACACCACAAUCAUUAUAUAAUCCCAUAACAAAGAAUCUAUUGAGGCACCAUGCUUUUGUCAACUAUAGGACACAGAAUCCAUAAUUGCAUUAUUCAGCUUUUUCUCCCUCUUCUCUUCCUCGCUUUGUGGAGACAUAACCUACUGCACGGGACACAUUUGCACCUUGUUUCCCCCGGUUGUGUAUUAUUUACUAAAACGUUUGCCCUGAGGAUAAACCUCGCAAAGUUGCUUUAAAAAAGUUAUUUGUUUGAUAAUUAAGUCCUGAAACCCAUCGUUUAAUGAUUAUUCCGGACCCAUAAGGCAGAGAACCUCCAUGACGUUUUUCUCUAAGUUUAAUUACCGUAUGCUAAUUUCCUUGCCUACUACGUGAUUAAUUAAAAUCAUAUUUUCAUAAUCAUUUGGCACUAGUAUUGUUUUAGAAUUAUCAUGAUCCCCUAAAUAGUGUCUGUAAAUAAAGUCAGCUCUAAUGGAAAGAAUGGAAAUGCAAGGCUGAGGACCUUUUAUGUGUUUGUAUCUAUGCGAUUGGCAACAUAACUGGCUUAUUUACAUUAAAUACGCCACAAGGUUACAGUGCAGAUCAACGUCAUUUUAUCGCUGAUUACUUCUCUUAAACGCCGGAGCUGUGACUGAUGCUUCAUGUCCCGCUGUCCACCAAGAUUCACCCUGGAGUUUUGUGGGUUUUUUUUAAAGAAAAAGACUUUAAAUAGUUUCAGGAGCAGCCCAAGAAAAUGAUCAAGUCAAUCAUGUGGACAUGCUUCAUUAUUCAUUGAACACAAUCUUUUACAACGCUCCGUUUACGUGCUGGAGUUUCUCCCUACGCUUUGCUCUAAAUGUUGAAGGUCUCAUUUUUGCAGUUCCUGAUCGUCACUAUCUACCCCACGUCUUUAAGAAUUUCCCUCACCCAGGAGGCAGAUCUGUUGAUUUAAGAAUACCCUGGGUCUUCCUGAACUUCCUCUUCAGAUCUGGCUCAUUUCCAAGUGGCUUCGUCUUCUAUCCCUGACUGCCAGAAGUCACCAGAAGAGCUACUGUCCAGCUCAGGUAAAUUUGCCUAUUUUUUAAUACGGGGAAGAGGGAAGGAUAAAUGUCUGUCUAAAAUCGUGCAAAUAACAAGGAUGAGGCUGGGGCACUGAAGACUAUAUGACCUUUCUAACCGCUGGCCUUGUGUUCUCUGAAGUUCCUGCAUUACAAGGGUAAAUAAACAUCCUUAAGAAGAUUCAUGACUUUCCCUCUACUUCAAAGCCACAAGUCUACUUGAUACACAGUGAUCUCUGUUCCUCUCCAUAAGGCUCAUACACCUGUGACUUCAGU